AGCAGCAGCCGCGGUAAAACGUAGGGUGCAAGCGUUAAUCGGAAUUACUGGGCGUAAAGCGUGCGCAGGCGGUUAUAUAAGACAGAUGUGAAAUCCCCGGGCUCAACCUGGGAACUGCAUUUGUGACUGUAUAGCUAGAGUACGGCAGAGGGGGAUGGAAUUCCGCGUGUAGCAGUGAAAUGCGUAGAUAUGCGGAGGAACACCGAUGGCGAAGGCAAUCCCCUGGGCCUGUACUGACGCUCAUGCACGAAAGCGUGGGGAGCAAACAGGAUUAGAUACCCGGGUAGUCCCUGUCUCUUAUAC
rnacentral:rRNA from 1 species